GCUGGUGAUCCUACUGUGAGACACUGCAUCCCCUGGCUGAUGGAGUCCUGGACCAGCCGCUGCCGUUCCGACGACCAGUGGCUUUCCCACACGCAUUGGCACAGGCAGGAGUGUCCGUGUCGCCUAGUGUACUUGUUGGCAGUACAGUAGUGUGUUUCCCGCAAUGGUGACAAAAAAGGGAAGGAGUGGCCGAAUUAAGAUGGCUACUUGUCUCGCCGCGGCAGGUGCACCAUAGUGAGGGGAAGGCCAGAAGGAACAUAACAUGGCACUGUGGGAAAGCCCUCGCCAGGUGUCCACAACACGACAGCACUUGGCAUUCUCUUCCACCGGGUAUAUGAGAAGGAACGCCCCUACCAGUGCCACACAUCAACAUGGAGCGACGCACCCUGCUGAUUGUCCUGCUAGUGUGCAGCUUCCUGCUGGUAGCUGUCACCGCCGAGGCCUCGCCUUGGAGAGGUAGCCGCUUUGGCAGACCACCAAAGGGCGGCAGACCGCCGUUUGGUGGAUCAGCUUGUAGGUGCAUCAGGGCGCCGUGUCCUUGUUCCUACUUCGGCUAACCCGGCCAGCGAACUCUGCUUCUGACAAUGCUCAUGGAUGGAAAGCGCUGUCUUGCUUACUUCAAUGAACUGAUAAAUUAACGGAGAAUUUUGCUUUGCAUUUAGUGGUAAAUAAAAUCACAGCAAUC